GAGGUCUACUACACCUGUUGUAUUCAGCAUUUCACUGUGAGGUCUACUACACCUGUUGUAUUCAGCAUUUCACUGUGAGGUCUACUACACCUGUUGUAUUCAGCAUUUCACUGUGAGGUCUACUACACCUGUUGUAUUCUGCAUUUCACUGUGAGGUCUACUACACCUGUUGUAUUCUGCAUUUCACUGUGAGGUCUACUACACCUGUUGUAUUCAGCAUUUCACUGUAAGGUCUACUACACCUGUUGUAUUCAGCAUUUCACUGUAAGGUCUACUACACCUGUUGUAUUCAGCAUUUCACUGUGAGGUCUACUACACCUGUUGUAUUCAGCAUUUCACUGUGAGGUCUACUACACCUGUUGUAUUCAGCAUUUCACUGUGAGGUCUACUACACCUGUUGUAUUCAGCAUUUCACUGUGAGGUCUACUACACCUGUUGUAUUCAGCAUUUCACUGUGAGGUCUACUACACCUGUUGUAUUCAGCAUUUCACUGUAAGGUCUACUACACCUG
rnacentral:lncRNA from 1 species